rnacentral:rRNA from 1 species
AGAGUUUGAUCCUGGCUCAGAUUGAACGCUGGCGGCAUGCCUUACACAUGCAAGUCAACGGCAGCACGGGAGCAAUCCUGGUGGCGAGUGGCGAACGGGUGAGUAAUAUAUCGGAACGUGCCCAGUCGGGGGGAUAACGCAGCGAAAGCUGUGCUAAUACCGCAUACGAUCUAUGGAUGAAAGCGGGGGAUCGCAAGACCUCGCGCGAUUGGAGCGGCCGAUAUCAGAUUAGCUAGUUGGGGGGUAAAGGCCCACCAAGGCGACGAUCUGUAGCUGGUCUGAGAGGACGACCAGCCACACUGGAACUGAGACACGGUCCAGACUCCUACGGGAGGCAGCAGUGGGGAAUUUUGGACAAUGGGCGCAAGCCUGAUCCAGCAAUGCCGCGUGCAGGAUGAAGGCCUUCGGGUUGUAAACUGCUUUUGUACGGAACGAAACGGCUCUUUCUAAUAAAGAGGGCUAAUGACGGUACCGUAAGAAUAAGCACCGGCUAACUACGUGCCAGCCGCCGCGGUAAUACA